AUGGGUGGAAAGCACUACACAAGCCAAAAUGUGCUCGCAGAUACUCGAACCUUAAGAGUUACAAUUAAGAGGGCACAUGAUGUUUUGAAUAAUAGAUUUAAGAUCCUGGAUCAGAAGACAUUUCACCCUUUCUCCAUCCAAGUUAGACUUGUUAUUGCAUGUUGCAUUCACUAUAUCUGGAUCUUAGAAUGGGGUUAUGAUGAGUUUGUGCCGGAGGAGAAAAAUAUGACGAUCGAUGAUGUUGAUGACUCCGAUCAUGGCGUGGAGGCCCAUGACAAUGAGCUCGGAAGAGCAAAAAUUUAA
rnacentral:rRNA from 1 species